GGAAUCACAGGAGCGUUGCCGGCCUUUAAGGAAGGUGUACGCGCUUUUUUUUGAAGGUACCCAUGUCGUAUCGUCCCUGAAACACCGCACAAGGAAGCUCAUUCCACAGCUUUGUAGUACGUGGAAGAAAGCUCCUUGAAAACCGCACUGUGGAGGACCGCCACACAUCCAGAUGGUGAGGAUGAUAUCCUAACUUGUGGCGUGUCGUGCGAAGGUGGAAUUCAACGGCAGGAAUCAGGUUAAACAGCUCUUCGGAACACUCCCCGUGAUAAAUGCGGUAGAAGACACACAAUGAAGCGACGUCUCUACGCAACGCCAAGUGAUCCUGGGGGGCUGAUUGGUACCUACUUUAAUAAUCAGGUGAGCCGCCAGCCCAUUGACACAGUAGACACAUGUACCAGUACGGAAACUACCUACAAAAGUUCGAAAUGACACACUCACACAAACAUGCGCAUCGACGAGGCCCCUAAACAGUUUUCGCGGUCAAUACGAGACGAGUGUCACACUCACGUUGUUAUUUUUUUACGCGAUCAUUUUAGAAAUGCCAGCGUAUUGCGUGGUAUGCUACGGCUGUUUGAACUUGGCUUCAACAAAACCGGAGCUAUCAUUUUUUAAACUUCCUUGUGAUUUUGAAAGGUAAGAUUUAUUAUUAUCAUUAGUAGGUACUCGAAUUAUAACUCCGUAUGAUCGAUUGUAAUAAAUUCGUGAACAAAAUUGUUCACAAUGUUAAUAAAGAUGGCGGCUGCAAUAUUUAUCAUCAAUUUUUUUUAUGAGUUUAUGGUUAUUUAUGGUUUUCGAUGAUUUUUUCAUAUUUAUUUAUUUUGGACUAGUUAUUAACAUGUGUUUUGUCAUUGUUUUCGUGGGUGUUCAAACCAAUACCAGCUAGUGCUGUCAAAAUGAAAAUUUAAGCUGGCAGCUUAUCAACUUUUUCGUCACUGGUGUCGUCUUCAUGGUUUUCGAGGGUGCUGAAAUUCAUAGUGUUGUCAAAAUGUAAAUACAAGAUGGCGGCUGCAAGGAAAUGACAAGUUUUAGAUCAUGGGUGUUGUUUUCAUGAUUCUCGAGGGUGUUAAAGCCAGACUUCGAAAUUUGCUGGACUUUUGAAAUAAAAUUGUGUGUUCAUCGAAACUCCCGAAAAUCUCGAAAAUGAUACCCUUUUUGAUUUUAUUGUAAAAGACACAUCCGCAAUUUUGGAUGCCAAAAUAUAUGUCAUUAUUAUUCGUUAUUGACACCCCCCAAAACCUCGAAAAUGAUACAUAAUAUAUUGAUUUUAUUAAAAAAGUUAUAUCCACCAUCUUGUAUCUCGAAAUAGGUGUUAAUAAUUGUUCUUAACAAUUGACACUUGUUGAUCGAAAUAGCUGCCAGCGCUUGGGUUUCCAGUAGCCUUAUUGAGGCGCGAAGAUAGUAUUUUGAACAUUCUCCGCGCCUCUGGGCCCCACGGGCCAAGUUUCUCGACACCAAACGUCACAAAGAUGUAUGACUCACUGAGACCAACAUAUUUGCGACGGUUGCUGUCUUCGGCAGUCGAAGCAGCAGCCCCAGCACCAACUGACGUAACUUGGACAUGAGAAGGAGCCAGAGUGUCGACGCAAGUAGCGUCCCACACCAGCGCCCUUCCCCGUACCAAAGCCACCAGCGUCAUUCCAUCAGGACGCUUGCCAUCGCGGCGGGUAAUACCAUUUGGCUCUAAAACAGCUGGUACAUUAAGAACGGCAAAUGCCCUGCGGAUGACUUCAUUAAUGCUGGCGUGACGACUGAUACGGCCUGCCGAUUUUAGGCAGGAUAACCCGUGAAUAAUUAAGUAAAAUGUUUUUUAAAUAUAUUACAUAAGUCAUCAUGUAGACUAUAAUAUUGUAUUAGACACUGUAUAGCCAUCAUACAUACACUAUACAUAAAAAUCUUACGCUUGUUACUCUUUAACGUUCCGUAACGCCCCAUAAGGAACUUCGUUCUAAAAAUACAGUCCAGAGAACCUCUUCCUUUUUAAAGUCGCUUAGGAAAAUAAUCUGAUAACCCUAUUGCUUCAAUGGAGGAAUGUACGCACGUGUAGGUAUUUUAUCAACAAGGCUUAGUUUCCGUACUGAUACACAGGGGUGGGACAGUCGAAAAUCUAAUACUAGCCCAAUGGUCAUAACACUAGGUUAUCACAAUUUGUCUGAUGGCUUUAAUAGUCACUCAAUUUAUUUAAUAAUGUUAUUUAUUAUUUUCAGAGAUUCCAAUGCAUAGUUGGAUGCUGUCAAUUUCUUGAGCAGUUUAAAACUUGUGUCAGUCUUGUUGGUGGAAACCCUUAAACAUCUGAUCUUGAAUGUUAUAAGAAGAAGAGAAUUUGUGAUAUACACUUUUCGGACAGACACAGAAAUCAUAAUCAAUGGCUAAGCACAUUGGCAGUUCCGUUGCUUCAUCUGCUUGGACAACUACAGAGUCAAGUAAUCUUAGGACAAGCUUCAUCCACACAACAUUUACUGCCUACAAUAAUACAGCAAGACUGUUCAGAGCCAUAUGUGAGCAACUUUAUUUUAGUAAAAGCAUCAACUUCAACAACAUUCCAACCUGUGGCUGCAGACGCAUCUCAAGGUGCUUGAUGCUGGAACAUAAUUAUAGUUUUAUUAGCAAGCCUGAAAGAACAUCUGGAAAAGAUCUAAUGGCUCCACAGCGCACAAAGAUCAAGCACCUUCAAGCAGAAAUAUCGCGCUUGCGAAAAAAAGGACAAUCUUUCAAAGCAAGGUUAAAAGGUGGUGCAGAUCGAUCAAUCGAAUUUUGUCAGGAAAAUUAACAUAUGUGGGUGAAGGCGAAACAAAAACAGCUGCCCAACAAUAUUAUGAUAAACAUAAACAUUAUAAAAAUCAAAAAUAAUAUGCAAA